AGGCAGCAGUGGGGAAUUUUGGACAAUGGGCGCAAGCCUGAUCCAGCCAUGCCGCGUGMGGGAAGAAGGCCUUCGGGUUGUAAACCGCUUUUGUCAGGGAAGAAAYSKUCUGGGYUAAUACCUSGGGAKAAUGACGGUACCUGAASAAUAAGCACCGGCUAACUACGUGCCAGCAGCCGCGGUAAUACGUAKGGUGCAAGCGUUAAUCGGAAUUACUGGGCGUAAAGCGUGCGCAGGCGGUCUUGYAAGACAGAUGUGAAAUCCCCGGGCUCAACCUGGGAACUGCAUUUGUGACUGCAAGGCUWGAGUACGGCAGAGGGGGAUGGAAUUCCGCGUGUAGCAGUGAAAUGCGUARAUAUGCGGAGGAACACCGAUGGCGAAGGCAAUCCCCUGGACCUGUACUGACGCUCAUGCACGAAAGCGUGGGGAGCAAACASGAUUAGAUACCCUGGUAGUCCACGCCCUAAACGAUGUCAACUGGUUGUUGGGAAGSUUSCUKCUCAGUAACGUAGCUAACGCGUGAAGUUGACCGCCUGGGGAGUACGGCCGCAAGGUUGAAACUCA
rnacentral:rRNA from 1 species